UUAUUAUCAACUCCCUCUCGACUUACACAUGCAAGUAUCAGCACACCCGUGAGAACGCCCUUCACCCUUAAUAGGAUAAGGAGCUGGUAUCAGGCUCAGUUUUCUAGCCCACGACACCUAGCUUUGCCACACCCUCAAGGGCAUUCAGCAGUGAUUAACAUUGUUUAUAAGCGCCAGCUUGAUUCAGUUAGAGAAUUUAGAGCCGGCUAAUAUGGUGCCAGCCGCCGCGGCUACACCACUGGGCUCAAGUUGAUUUUAUUCGGCGUUAAGCGUGUUUAAAGUGCACACAAGAUUAGAAUUGAACUUAAACCAAACAGUGAUACGUUUGUUUUUAAGAAAGACAAAAACGAAAGUUAUUCUAACAAAACCACUUGAACCCACGACAGCUGGGGCACAAACUGGGAUUAGGUACCCCACUAUGCCCAGCCGUAAAACAUCUAUUCACACCUUAAACCGCCCGGGAAUUACGAGCUCAAGCUUAAAACCCAAAGGACUUGACGGUGUCCCACCCACCUAGAGGAGCCUGUUCUAUAAUCGAUUAUCCACGAUUCACCUCACCACUUCUAGCUUUUCAGCCUGUAUACCUCCGUCGUAAGCUCACCGUAUGAACGGUUUUUAGUGAGCUAAAAGAUUUUUACGUAAAUACGUCAGGUCAAGGUGCAGCCAACGAAGUGGCAAGCAAUGGGCUACAAUUUCUACACUUAGAACAUAACGAAAGACCGCAUGAAAUACGGUCAUGAAGGUGGAUUUAGUAGUAAAAAGAAAAUAGAGAGUUCUUUUUAACCAGGCACUGGGACGCGUACACACCGCCCGUCACCCUCUUCAAACGCCUUAAUUCAGUACAUAACAAGUACCCGCAUCACAGAAGAGGUAAGUCGUAACACGGUAAGCGUACUGGAAAGUGCGCUUGGAUAAACAAA
rnacentral:rRNA from 1 species